rnacentral:rRNA from 1 species
AAACUAUUAGGUGGAUGGCUUGGCUCAAAUAGAGAUGAAGGGUGUGACAAGCUACAUUAUGCCCCGGCUAGAUGCACGUAAUCUUUGAACCGGGGGUCCCCGAAUCUGACUUCAGAAUAAAUCCGGAAGGAUGUUGAACGCAGGGAAUUGAAACAUCUUAGUACCUGCAGGAAAAGAAAUCAACGAGAUGCUGUUAGUAAGAGCGACUGAACACAGCACAAGGCAAACUGAAUCUUUUGUUGAAAGACAAAAGAGAUGUGGUGUUAAGACCUUUCUUUAUUUCCUCUUUUGGGAACCUGAAUUUCUCUGGAAAGAGAAACCUUAGAGUGUGAUAGUCACGUAAGGGUAACUAAGAAGGAAUUGAGAGGUAUCUUGAGUACUAUUCACUGGAUACUGAAUAGGAAUAUGGGAGGCAUUAACUUCCAACCUUAAAUAUUAUUUGAGCCCGAUAGCAAACUAAGUACAAUGAUGGAAAGCUGAAAAGAACCCUUAACAGGAAGUUCAAAGAACCUGAAACCUAAUAGUGAUAGUGUGGUACGGCUCUACGGAGUUGUGCCGUGCGUUUCGAAUAACGUGCCAGGGAGUUUGUUCAAGUGGCAAGGGUAAAUAAAAUGUACCCGAAGCGAAAGCGAUAAGCCUGCAACUUGUGAGAGGCAGCGUAUGAAAGUGCGUGGAGUCACUUGGGCAAGACCCGAAACCGGACGAUCUAACCCUGAGUAAGGUGAAGCGAGGGUAAAACCUUGUGGAGGCCUGAAGAGGUUCUACGAGCAAGUGUUCUUCUAACUUGGGGCUAGGGGUGAAAAGCCAAUCGAGUCCGGUGAUAGCUGGUUCCUAUCGAAAUUGGCUGUAGUCAAGUCUUAAGCGAGAUAACUUAAAGGGUAGAGCUACGGAUUGGGGGUUUAGGUUUCGAAAGAGAUCGAUUCUCUGUCCAACUCCGAACUUUUAAUUAUUGUAGACCUUAGGAAACGGCGGCGCGGGGUAAGCCUGUGUCGCGAGAGGGGAACAACCCAGACUAUGGUUAAGGUCCCAAAAUAUCAGUUAAGUGUUAAAGGGUGAAAGGUGUCUAUUGUCGAAGACAGCGAGGAGGUUGGCUCAGAAGCAGCCACCCUUUAAAAAGUGCGUAACAGCUUACUUGUCAAGAUAAUAGGCCCUUAAAAUGGACGGGGCUAAACUGAUUACCGAUACCAUAGACAUGCUAACAGCAUAGUAGUAGAUAGGCAUUUUUUAAGGGCAGAAGCUCCUUUGCGAGAGGGUGUGGACCUUAAAGAAAUGAAAAUCCUGGCGGUAGUAGGAUCAUAGCAGAGUGAGAAUCUCUGUCACCGAAAGGGCAAGGGUUCCUUGACAAUAUAAAUUAGUCAAGGGUUAGUUAGUCCUAACUAUGCUCAUAAAUUGAGUAAUGGGAAAGGGAAACAGGUUAAUAUUCCUGUACUAUCUAAGUAUGUGCGGCAACGCAAGUUUAAUUUCUAUCUUUUUGGGGUAAGCUGACAAAUGAUCAAGUUUGCUAACUAAAACAGAUAAGGGGAGAUUGUAAUAAUGAGAACCUUAUCAAAUUUAGGAAUGGUGUUCUUAUGGGACAUUCAGCCGAUAUCUAGAAAUCUUAAAAAAGGAAUUAAAAUAAAUCUUAGAUAACUAUACCCAGAACCAGCACUGGUGCCCCUGGGUGAGAAGCCCAAGGUGUGAAGGUGUAAUCCGAUUGAGGGAACUCGGCAAAAUAGCCCCGUGACUUAGGUAUAAGGGGUCCCUGCGAUUGUAGCAAUGCAAUUGCAGGGUGCAAUUACAAAGGGGGUCCGACUGUUUAACAAAAACUUAACUGACUGCUAGCCUGUAAAGGUGCGUAUAGUCAGUGACGUCUGCCCAGUGUCAGUACUUUAAGCUCGGUUUCAACUGAGUGAAGAGCUGAUAAACGGCGGGAGUAACUAUAACUCUCUUAAGGUAGCGUAAUACCUUGUCGUUUGAUUGACGACUUGCAUGAAUGACGUAACGAGAUCCCUUCUGUCCCCAAUUGGAAUCCUCUGAACACUCUUUACUGGUGCAAAGGCCAGUGAUCUCCAGUGGGAAGCGAAGACCCCGUGAAACUUUACUGUAGUCUGUUAUUGCAACGUGAAUUUUGAUGUAGAGCGUAGGUGGGAGCCGUUAAAGCUUUGUCGCAAGGCGAAGUGUAGGCAACAAUGUAACACCACCCUUCGAAAUUUACGCUGCUUACUUCGAGAGAAGGACAUUGAUAGAUGGACAGUUUGGCUGGGGUGGCACCCUGUCGAAAAGAUAUCGACAGGGCCCAAUGGUUGGCUCAAGCGGGUCAGAAAUCCGCAGUAGAGUGCAAGAGCAAAAGCCAGCCUGACUGGAUUCAUAAUAAGAUUGAAUUCAGACAAGAAAUUGUGGUCUAGCGAACCUCUAAAUCCUCCUUAAUGGGGGUUAGAGAUGACCGAAAAGUUACUCCGGGGAUAACAGAGUUGUCGCGCCUGAGAGCUCAUAUCG